AGGACGAACGCUGGCGGCGUGCUUAACACAUGCAAGUCGAGCGGAAAGGCCCUUCGGGGUACUCGAGCGGCGAGCGGGUGAGUAACACGUGAGCAACCUGCCCUUGGCUCAGGGAUAGCCUCCGGAAACGGGGAUUAAUACCGGACAUUCACUUAUCCCUGCAUGGGGGGUUGGUGGAAAGUUUUUCGGCCAGGGAGGGCUCGCGGCCUAUCAGCUUGUUGGCGGGGUAACGGCCCACCAAGGCGACGACGGGU
rnacentral:rRNA from 1 species